rnacentral:rRNA from 2 species
AUUUUUAUGGAGAGUUUGAUCCUGGCUCAGGAUGAACGCUGGCGGCGUGCCUAAUACAUGCAAGUCGAGCGAACGGACGA